rnacentral:tRNA from 1 species
GCCUUGGUAGCUCAGUGGUAGAGCGCCUGCUUCGUAAGCAGGAAGUCAUGGGUUCAACCCCCAUCCAAGGCU